rnacentral:lncRNA from 1 species
GCCCCCCCCCGGCCGAGGGGCUGGGAUGGCCGGCAGGCAGCCCCCUCCCCGCGCAGGGGCUGGGGAGGGACGGGCGGGCGUCGCCCCCCGAGCCACAAGUCCCCCGGGGGCCGGGGAGGGAGGACGGGGGCUCCCCCCCCCGCACCGGGACGCCCCCCCAGGAGGUGGCCGGCCGCCUGCGGGCCCUCCUGCCGGCCCCGGCCGAGCUGUGGGGCCGCGCCCUGGCGGAGGAGCGGCGCCGCGCCGUGCUCGCAGCCCUGCUGGAGCGCCACUGCGCCCUGCCCGACCUGGCCGCCCUCCUGCCCCCCCGGGGCGUGGGGGCUGCGGGGGGCCUCUCCCACGGGCUGCCCCCUCCUGGGCCGCCCCCUGCUUCCCCCCCCUCGCCGGGGCUCAGCACCCCUGAAAUGGAGCCGCUUCCCCAGGCGGUGCGGAGCAAGGACCCUGCAGCCCAUCGCAGCCACCCCCCUGCACCUCUGCAGGCCGUCACUCAGGCACCAACCUCCCCUUCCUUGUUCCCUCCCCCUGACUUCAGCCCUGAGACAAUGAAGAGGCAGAGCUGUUUCCCCUGGAUGAUGGAGGAUGAAGACGAGGCACACUCCGAAAAACCCGCCAUGCAAUUCUGCGUCCGGACCCCCUCACCACCACUGUUCAGGGCCCACCACCCUGCACCCUCCCCUGCCUCCUACCUACCUGCAGGGCGCUGCGCUCCUGAACCUGAGCUGCUGCCCCAGCCAACUACGAGCAGGAACCCAGCACCCCAGCACCGCUGGCACCGUGUCUCCCCACAAGCUGUCGAUCAGACUCCAAGCCCCCCUGCUGUUCCUCUGCCCCCUGUUUUCGGUGCCAAGAGGAAGGAGAGGCAGAGCUGGCUCCCCUGGAUGUCGGAAGAUGAGGAUGACACACACCCUGAAGACCCAGCCCCACUGUUCUGUGCCCGGACACCAUCUCCACCACUGUUUGAGGGGCUUCCCCAGCCCCACAUCCCCCUGGGGGAGCCAGGCUGCACAUGCAGGGCAGCAUGGGGCCCCAGGGUAGAGGACAAAGCAGAAGGGCAUGGCCAGAUCUACUGGCGGUCCCGUGUGCCACAGCAUCGCCAGGUGUUAGAGCAUCCCAUGUCAGGGACACACGCCCCACACCACCCCUGCUGGUGCCACAGGGACCAGCGGACACCCCCUACUUUGUACCGGGGCACAUGCCCCUGUGCCCCCUCCCCAUCACACCACCCCUGCAAGCACAGCCCUUGUCCCCACAGCAGGCCUCGGCAUGCCACGAGCUUCCCCACGUGCCGCUGCUCACCCCGUGAAAGCCACCGGCCACGGGGCUGGAGGGGGCCGCUGGAGCCACGGCAAAGGGGGUGGCACCUUUCCUUCUGCCCCCAUGCCACAGUUCCCCACAAUGUACGGGAAAGGGACUCUAGCCCCAAUGUCUGGCUCUUCCCCUGCCUGUACUGA